CCUACGGGGUGCACCAGUGGGGAAUAUUGGACAAUGGGCGAAAGCCUGAUCCAGCCAUGCCGCGUGUGUGAAGGAGGCCUUUUGGUUGUAAAGCACUUUAAGCGAGGAGGAGGCUACCGAGAUUAAUACUCUAGGAUAGUGGACGUUACUCGCAGAAUAAGCACCGGCUAACUCUGUGCCAGCAGCCGCGGUAAUACAGAGGGUGCGAGCGUUAAUCGGAUUUACUGGGCGUAAAGCGUGCGUAGGCGGCUUCUUAAGUCGGAUGUGAAAUCCCUGAGCUUAACUUAGGAAUUGCAUUCGAUACUGGGAAGCUAGAGUAUGGGAGAGGAUGGUAGAAUUCCAGGUGUAGCGGUGAAAUGCGUAGAGAUCUGGAGGAAUACCGAUGGCGAAGGCAGCCAUCUGGCCUAAUACUGACGCUGAGGUACGAAAGCAUGGGGAGCAAACAGGAUUAGAUACCCCCGUAGUC
rnacentral:rRNA from 1 species